rnacentral:rRNA from 1 species
UACGGAGGGGGCUAGCGUUGUUCGGAAUUACUGGGCGUAAAGCGCACGUAGGCGGCUUUGCAAGUUAGAGGUGAAAGCCCGGGGCUCAACCCCGGAACAGCCUUUAAGACUGCAUCGCUUGAACGUCGGAGAGGUGAGUGGAAUUCCGAGUGUAGAGGUGAAAUUCGUAGAUAUUCGGAAGAACACCAGUGGCGAAGGCGGCUCACUGGACAACUGUUGACGCUGAGGUGCGAAAGCGUGGGGAGCAAACAGG